GCAUAUCAAUAAGCGGAGGAAAAAGAAACUAACAAGGAUUCCCCUAGUAACUGCGAGUGAAGCGGGAAAAGCUCAAAUUUAAAAUCUGGUGGUCUUCGGCCAGCCGAGUUGUAAUCUAGAGAAGUGUUACCCGCGUCGGACCGUGUACAAGUCUCCUGGAAUGGAGCGUCAUAGAGGGUGAGAAUCCCGUCUUUGACACGGACUACCGAGGCUUUGUGGUGCGCUCUCAAAGAGUCGAGUUGUUUGGGAAUGCAGCUCAAAAUGGGUGGUAAAUUCCAUCUAAAGCUAAAUAUUGGCGAGAGACCGAUAGCGAACAAGUACCGUGAGGGAAAGAUGAAAAGAACUUUGGAAAGAGAGUUAAACAGUACGUGAAAUUGCUGAAAGGGAAACGCUUGAAGUCAGUCGCGUUGGCCGGAAAUCAGCCUUGCUUUUGCUGGGUGUACUUUCUGGUUGACGGGCCAGCAUCAGUUUUGACCGGUGGAAAAAGUCCAAGGGAAUGUGGCAUCUUCGGAUGUGUUAUAGCCCUUGGUCGUAUACAUCGGUUGGGACUGAGGAACUCAGCACGCCGAAAGGCCGGGUCUUUGACCACGUUCGUGCUUAGGAUGCUGGCAUAAUGGCUUUAAUCGACCCGUCUUGAAACACGGACCAAGGAGUCUAACAUGCCUGCGAGUGUUUGGGUGGAAAACCCGGACGCGCAAUGAAAGUGAAAGUUGAGAUCCUUGUCAUGGGGAGCAUCGACGCCCGGACCAGAAGUUUUCUGACGGCCCUGCGGUAGAGCAUGUAUGUUGGGACCCGAAAGAUGGUGAACUAUGCCUGAAUAGGGUGAAGCCAGAGGAAACUCUGGUGGAGGCUCGUAGCGAUUCUGACGUGCAAAUCGAUCGUCAAAUUUGGGUAUAGGGGCGAAAGACUAAUCGACAACCAUCUAGUAGCUGGUUCCUGCCGAAG
rnacentral:rRNA from 1 species